AACGAACGCUGGCGGCAUGCCUAACACAUGCAAGUCGAACGAUGCCUUCGGGCAUAGUGGCGCACGGGUGCGUAACGCGUGGGAAUCUGCCUUUCGGUUCGGAAUAACUCAGGGAAACUUGAGCUAAUACCGGAUAACGUCGCAAGACCAAAGAUUUAUCACCGAAAGAUGAGCCCGCGUAGGAUUAGCUAGUUGGUGAGGUAAAGGCUCACCAAGGCGACGAUCCUUAGCUGGUCUGAGAGGAUGAUCAGCCACACUGGGACUGAGACACGGCCCAGACUCCUACGGGAGGCAACAGUGGGGAAUAUUGGACAAUGGGCGAAAGCCUGAUCCAGCAAUGCCGCGUGAGUGAUGAAGGCCUUAGGGUUGUAAAGCUCUUUUACCCGGGAAGAUAAUGACGGUACCGGGAGAAUAAGCCCCGGCUAACUCCGUG
rnacentral:rRNA from 1 species